UUGUCUCAAAGAUUAAGCCAUGCAUGUCUCAGUACAAGCCAAAUUAAGGUGAAACCGCGAAAGGCUCAUUAAAUCAGUUAUGGUUCCUUAGAUCGUACCCACAAUUACUUGGAUAACUGUGGUAAUUCUAGAGCUAAUACAUGCAAACAGAGCUCCGACCGGAGACGGAAGGAGUGCUUUUAUUAGAUCAAAACCAAUCGGUGGCGGGUUCGCUCGUUAUCGUACAACUUGGUGACUCUGAAUAACUUUACGCUGAUCGCACGGUCAUCGCACCGGCGACGCAUCUUUCAAAUGUCUGCCUUAUCAACUGUCGAUGGUAGGUUCUGCGCCUACCAUGGUUGUAACGGGUAACGGGGAAUCAGGGUUCGAUUCCGGAGAGGGAGCCUGAGAAACGGCUACCACAUCCAAGGAAGGCAGCAGGCGCGCAAAUUACCCACUCCCGGCACGGGGAGGUAGUGACGAAAAAUAACGAUACGGGACUCAUCCGAGGCCCCGUAAUCGGAAUGAGUACACUCUAMACCCUUUAACGAGGAUCAAUUGGAGGGCAAGUCUGGUGCCAGCAGCCGCGG
rnacentral:rRNA from 1 species